rnacentral:tRNA from 1 species
CGGCGGCGGCAGUGCGGCGGCGCUGGCGGCGUUCCAGGCGCCGCUGGCGAUCGGUACCGACACCGGUGGCUCGAUCCGUCAGCCGGCGGC